AAACACACAAAAGUGUAGCAAGUUUAACUGUGAGGUAUACCAGUAUAACAGAAUCAUGUAACCUGCUGCCCAAAAAAGAAGAAUUGACCUGAAUAAUCACCAAUUGUCAAUUCAUCUUCGAGACUAACUUAAAAGAAAUGCUAAAACUUGAUCUCCGUUAUGUUCUUAUAACUACCUGUGAAGCUAUAAAGGCAUAAGUAGACUCCUAACAAUUAAUAUGACUAUAUAGAAAAAAAAAAAAUUCUACGCAGAUUUCUAUUAAAGGUAGCCAUCUAAUAAUUAUAAACAGAUGCCAAAAGUGCUACUGUUAGAGGGGAAAUCAAAAUUAACCCGUGCAAGUAUAAAGAAAUUGUAAGUAUAAAUUUGAAGCUCCAAGUUGAAAUUUCAUAACUUGGAUAAAGAUUGAAUAAAGCACACGUAGGAGCUUCCAUGGACAUAUAAGCUAAUCACUGACCAGCUAAGAAACAAAAACUUUUAACGUAACAAAGUUACAAACACAAGAGUCCUAACCAGGAUCGCACUGUUGAUAAAACUCUUCCACAUCAGUGGUGA
rnacentral:misc_RNA from 1 species